rnacentral:RNase_P_RNA from 1 species
GGAGCAGCCUGGAUGCACGCCGGCCAUUGCAGGACGGGGUGGCGGGAGGAAAGUCCGGGCUCCACAGGGCAAGGUGCUGGCUAACGGCCAGUCGCAGCGAUGCGCAGGAAAGUGCCACAGAAAACAGACCGCCUCCCGGGCAACCGGGCGGUAAGGGUGAAACGGUGCGGUAAGAGCGCACCGCGCACGGCGUGAGUCGGGCGGCACGGCAAACCCCACCUGGAGCAAGAGCCAAUAGGGGAGCAUGACUGGCCCGGUCGCUCCCGGGUAGCUCGCUGGAGCCUGCAGGCAACUGCAGGCCUAGAUGAAUGUGCGUCGCCCGCCGCAAGGCGGGGACAGGACCCGGCUUACAGGGCUGCUCCGGUU